rnacentral:SRP_RNA from 1 species
GCCGGGCACGGUGGUGCGUGCAUGUAGUCCCAGCUACUCCGGAGGCUGAGGUGGGAGGAUCGCUUGAGCCCAGGAGUUCUGGGCUGCGGUGCGCUAUGCCGAUUGGGUGUCCACACUAAGUUCAGCAUCAAUAUGGUUACCUCCUGGGAGCGGGGGACCACCAGGUUGCCUAAGGAGGGGUGAACAGACCCAGGUCGGAAAUGGAGCAUUUCAAAACUCCCGUGAUGAUCAGUAGUGGGAUCGCGUCUGAAUAGCCACUGCACUCCAGCCUGGCCAAAAUAGCGAGAUCCCGUCUCU